AGUCAAGAAGCUUAUCUCCUAGGCUCACUAUCCUAGAGAUCCAAAUAAGUUCUUAUGGAGAAUUUUCAAAGACUAAGAGGUGGAAACAAUGUUUUCAGAUUUCGAAAUGAUUCUAGUUUAUUUUUCUAGAUGACAUGCAUAGCAAACUUUGACCUUGUAGAAAUUAAUUUAAGUAAGCCAAUGACAAGGUCUUUUGAGAUUAAGUACAUACUAGUAUGAAUUAAUUUUAUAUGCCAAAAAUGGUUUUUUUAAUCUUGGUAUUCAUAGUGCAUAUAUUUAAAGUCAUACCAAGUAUACAUUCUCAUGUCUAUGAUCAAUAAAAGAUAAUACCAUUGAUAAAAACUCUCAAUCAAGCAUAUAGAGAAUUCAUAGAGUUAUUCUUAAUAAAUUGAUUAAUCAUUUAGCAACUUAUCCAGCAGUAAGUAAAGCAUACUAUAAAAUGAAGUGAUUUGAUUAUGUUUUUAAAAAUAUUACCUAUAUCACAAAAUUGAUUAA
rnacentral:lncRNA from 1 species